GGCCCUAUCGUCUAGCGGUUAGGACGCAGCCCUCUCAAGGCUGAGACGGGGGUUCGAGUCCCCCUAGGGUCACCA
rnacentral:tRNA from 1 species